rnacentral:rRNA from 1 species
CCUCAGCUCAGGCAAGAAAACGCUCUGAACUUAAGCAUAUUACUAAGAGCAGGAAAAGAAAGUCCUAU